AGAGUUUGAUCCUGGCUCAGGACGAACGCUGGCGGCGUGCCUAAUACAUGCAAGUCGAGCGGACGGAUGGGAGCUUGCUCCCUGAAGUCAGCGGCGGACGGGUGAGUAACACGUGGGCAACCUGCCUGUAAGACUGGGAUAACUCCGGGAAACCGGGGCUAAUACCGGAUAACUCUUUUCCUCACAUGAGGAAAAGCUGAAAGAUGGUUUCGGCUAUCACUUACAGAUGGGCCCGCGGCGCAUUAGCUAGUUGGUGAGGUAACGGCUCACCAAGGCCACGAUGCGUAGCCGACCUGAGAGGGUGAUCGGCCACACUGGGACUGAGACACGGCCCAGACUCCUACGGGAGGCAGCAGUAGGGAAUCUUCAGCAAUGGACGAAAGUCUGACGGAGCAACGCCGCGUGAGUGAUGAAGGUUUUCGGAUCGUAAAACUCUGUUGUCAGGGAAGAACAAGUACCGGAGUAACUGCCGGUACCUUGACGGUACCUGACCAGAAAGCCACGGCUAACUACGUGCCAGCAGCCGCGGUAAUACGUAGGUGGCAAGCGUUGUCCGGAAUUAUUGGGCGUAAAGCGCGCGCAGGCGGUUCCUUAAAUCUGAUGUGAAAGCCCCCGGCUCAACCGGGGAGG
rnacentral:rRNA from 1 species